rnacentral:RNase_P_RNA from 1 species
GCGAGUUGGUGGGCGACUCCGGACCCUGCGUGAGGGCCUGAGGAAACUCCACCCACAUGGCGGAGGCGUGGCAUCGCGAGGUGCCGGCUGAGAGGUCGGGUAAAGGCGCAGAAAGAUACCUCUGCCAGUCGUGGACGAUGAUGCGUUUACGUUGAGGAGACUGGCGGUAAGGGUGAAAGGCCAACCCACGCCGUGAAAGGGAUAAUAGGCGCCCGUGAACACCGCCCGAGGCGCGGGUAUCCCGAUAAGAUGAAUGUCGCCUAAAACAGAAGGUGGGUUACGACCAACACGC